AGUGUUACAUCGACCAGGUACUUAAAAUGGUAUGAGCUGAGAUACAUAAUUCAGUUUGUCGUUAAAUUUAAUAGCAAAUCUUACAAGCACUUACAAUGAUGAAACUUAACAUAGUUGUUAUAGUGAACAUUCUAUGUGCACUUUUGCUUGAGGUAAACGGAGCGUACGUGGUGAAGAGAGACACACCAUCGACCCCCCCGAAUAUAUUUGAAUCAUUUCAAACAAACAUGGACAUGUUCAGGAAGUGCUUGGAUUUAACGCUGGCCAAAUCGGUGGACGAUGUUAACGUGCAUCAACUGAAACCUGUCUUUAAUGUUAUCGGUGAUCAGAUUAAUAGAUUUUCUAAAGCGUUCGAAGAUUUGACCGCGAAAAGUACUACAACACAGGAAUCGAUUUGGGCGUAGACAGUUUCAAUUCAGUGUACUUUGGUUAUAGAAUUCUCGUUUUGAUAAUAAAAUGUAUUUGUAAAUGGCACUGCGGAUUUUAUUUGAAUGUUUAAAACAAUAAAAUUAAAAUAGUAAAAUUAAUUUAAUUAACAUAAACAACUUAAAUACUGACACCCACCUCGAGAUCUUAAUGGUCUAAAAAUGUCAAUAGAUCCCAAUUUUUACAGUACAAUGGUUGACCGCUGGGGCUGGCUGGCUAAAGGCUGCUUCAAACCUAAACGAAUUACAGCAGAAAUAAGCUAGGUAGUGCUUGCUACCGAUCCGUGUGUGCUCUGACUACCACCAGUAAUUACACAUAUUAAAAUUUUUGUGGGUUUGAUUUGUAUUACACGAUGUUACUCCUUCACCGUUGAAGUCAAUCGAGAACAUUUUUGAUAUACGUAUUUCAUUUAAAAAAUGGAUAUCUGACUGCGUAAUUCGACAAUCCCAUUGCUCGAUACGAUUUUACCAGGUUUGUUAAGCCUUUAGGCAAUGUUAAUUUAAUUUUUUUUUCUGAUUAUAGCUGGUUACCGCAGAACUAAAACGUCAGAACGUCAAUGCCUUCACCCACCUCGAGACAUGAUAUCGAAGUUUCAACUGUAUUGUACAUAUAUAUAAGCCGCUAUUCCGCCCAUCAAACCUAAAUUAAAGACUGAUUCGCGGCAGAAAUAGGCCAGACGUUGGUACGUCUCGGUACAGGUUUUACAAUACGCCCUACCAAAAGUGAAUGCCGGUUGGCGACCGAAAAACGCUCAAGUAAUAAUCAGGGGCCUUUGACCUCACGUAUCAAUCUAUACUAAUAUUAUAAAGAGGAAAGAUUUGUUUGUUUCGAAUAGGCUCCGAAACUACUGGACCGAUUUGAAAAUUUAUUUUUCCAUUAGAAGCCGAUAUUGUCCCUGAUGAACAUAGGCUACUUUUUUUAAUUUUUUUUUAAUUUUUUUUUUGCUUGUGUUUUAAUGUUUCCGAAGCGAAGCGAGGGCGGGUCGCUAGUGUAGAUAUAAAAUCUAAUUGAUUCAAUACACCAAGGAGCAACAAGAAAUUAAUUAAAAAAAAAAACCCUGUAUUAUAAUCAAUAAAGUGAAGUAUGAAAUAUUCUGAAUGUUCUUGAUGUUUUAUUUAAUACGUGCCAACAAUUACGUAUGUGAGUAACUUUAAAUUUGUACCUUUUUUUUUGUAAAACUUUAGGAAAAUUUCCGUCAAUCUUUUCUAAUAGAUGGUAAUAUUUGCUGUUCUAAUCUACUAUUUAUUUUUCAAUUGCUGUGGGUGAUGAGGUCGUGUAAACAAAAACAAAUUGUUAUCAGCGCUUUAGGGUUCUCGGAAACGCUAAUUAACGGUUUCUCGUUUAUUAAUUAGAUCACAUUAUCUUAUUAUACUGACAAAUAAGUUAACGAGCUCUGUUAACAUAAAGAGGGCUACGGCACAGAAAGAGCCAGUGGUGAUUCUGUAGCCGAUUCGUGAAGACGUUCUCAAAUAUCCAAAAUGAACAAGCUGCUGAUUAUCUUGUUGGCUAUCUGCCUCGCCAAUGUGCAUGCAUUCGUCAAACGAGAUGCUCCUAAAGAAGACAAUAGCCUAAAUACGCUGGCUGAGAGUGCGAAGAAAACAAUUGAGGAAUUGAGGGAAAAAGUUGAAUCCGCCUUGGCCCCGGAGACUGUUAAGAAAAACUUUGGCACGAUGGUAGACAGCUUCAACGAAUUUUAUAAAAAUCUGAAGCCCGCGGAAGCACCGAAAGCCUGAGAAGUAAUUUUUUAGUAUCUAAGUACAUAACCCCAAAUAUAUCGAAUGUAAUAAUGUUCUCGACAUUAUUGAAUAAAAGUUUUCUAUGAAAAA